AGAGUAUGUAAACCCAGGAGACUAUUUUUACGGCGGAGCAGAAGUUUUGUGGAUCCUCCACGCCACCAAAGUUGGGAAAUACAGGUACAGAAGGAACCCGGAGCAUCCCUGAGACGGGAUUCGGAAGAGCUCCGGCAGUUCGCAGACCGAGGACCCGGUGUCAAGCUCACCUGCCAGGACGCGACUGCUGCCAACGUGGGCACCGCGGCGGCCCGGGGCGGAGAGGGAAAGAGACGAGCGGCGCGGCCAGCCCGCCCUCCCCGUGUGCCAAUCACGCCCGCACCGCUGCCACUAGCGCCACUUUGGGGAUGCUCGCUUUCGACUCUGGGUGCCGACGCGCGUGACACAGCUAAGAACAAAAAGAAAGGCCCCGCAUCGCCCCAGACCGACCUCCUCAGGGGAGCCCAGCAACGGAGCGGAGCCCGGGAGGCGGAACGCGGCGGGUCGGGGCGGCCCCGGGAAGGAGGCUCCAGCGCUGGGAGGUGCGGGGCCGGCCUCGAGCCCACUCCGCAACCUGGAAUUUCAGUGGGACUUGUGACCACCCUGAAUAUACUCUACAUUUUCGCAACUUCCCUGGAAGCAAAGGCUGCCCAUGUGGCUCAGCUAUAGCCACUAUAAUUGGUAAAGAAAACUGAUUUUACCUGGUGGCUCAGGGUUAAGAAUCUGCCUGCCAAUGCAGAAGACACGGAUUUGACCCCUGAUCCAGGAAGAUCCCACAUGCAGUGGGCCAACUAAGUCCUUGAGCAGCAACUGCUGAAACCUGAGAACUCCAGAGCCCGUGCUCCGCAAAAAGAGAAGACAUCACACUGAGAAAUCCACCACAACCAGAGAGUAGCCCCUGCUCGCUGCCACUGGAGAAAGCCCGCGGGCAGCAGCAAGCACCCAGUGCAGCCAAAUGAAUACAUAAGUAAAUCUUUUUAAAAAGAAAGUCAGUUAUUCUUAAUAUAAUUCACUGUACUAGCUAAAAAGCAAAAAUGAAUCAUAUGAUCACCUUGAUAGAUGGAGAAAAAGUAUUUGACAAAACCCAACGUUCAUUUCUUAUAAAAACUCUUAGCAAAUUAAGAGUAAAAGGGCACUUCUUCCGUCGAAUACAGGGCGUCUGCCAAAAACCUGCCUGAUAUCAGUAAAUGGUGAAAGAUUGAAUAUUUUUCCCCCUAAGAUCAGGAAUAGGACAGGGACGUCUUACCACUUUUAUUUAACAUUGUACUAGGGGUAUACAGUUGGACAAGAAAAAUAAAUAAAAUGCAUCCAGACUAGAAAAGAACAAGUAAAACUGUCUUUAUUUCCAAACAUGUGCAUCUAUCAGAGCAUUCCAUCAGAAAAUCAGAUGGAAUUUGAAAAAAGAAGCAAACAAGAAACUACUAGAACCAAGAAUUUGGACACUUCUUAAAAAGUUGAACAUAAAUCUACAAUAUGAUCUAGCAAUUCUACUCCUAGAUAUUUAACCCCCUAGAAGGAAAUAUUUAUCCAUACAAAGAUUGUACAUAAAUGUUUACAGCUGCUUUAUUUUGUAAUAGCCUCAAACAGGAAACUACCUCCAUCAAUGGUUACAUGCAUAAGCAAGCAUAAUAUAUUUACCUAGUAGAAUAAUGCUCAGCAAUAAAAAGGAAUGAACUAUUGAUACAUGCAAUAUGGAUGAAUCUUAAAAUAAUUUUUCUGAGUAAAGAAAAACCAGACAAAAAGAGUACUAAAUAUUGCAUGACCCACAUGUAUUUUAAAAGUCUACAUUUUUAGAAUGGAAUUGUAGAAAGGUGAUCAACAGGUACAAACUUUCAGUUACAAGAUAAAUAAUUACCAACGAUGUAAUGUAUAGCAUGACUAUAGUUAACAUUGCUCUGUGAUAUAUAGAAAAGCUUUUAAGAAAGUAAAUCUUAAGAGCUCUCAUUUCAUCAAAGUAAAAUAUCUGUUUCUUUUUUGGUUUCUCUUUUUAUUGUAAUAUAUCUGCUUCUUGCCUGGAGAAUCCCAGGGACGGGGGAGCCUGGUGGGCUACCAUCUAUGGGGUUGCACAGAGUCGGAAACAACUGAAGUGACUUAGCAGUAGCAGCAGCAUCUAUGUGGAAUGAUGGAUGUUAACGAAACUUAAAGUGGUAAUCAUUUCACAAUAUAUGUAAAUGAAGCCAUUACACUGUACACCUUGAUGAAAUAAAAUUUAGAUCUUAAGACAGGACAAAAUUAUAUAAAAAUUAAGUAUAAAGUUGUCUCCAGGUGCUGGCUUGCACCUCCUCCCUCCCUAAUGUGCAGGGUGUAUCUGUACUUCACAUUAACCAGGAAGAGCCUGCUCAACUGUAAAGAUCAUUUCUUCUUUUUACUUUCUUCAGUUCCUUAAAGAACGGUGUUCUUUCCCAGCUCUGUGGAGGACCAUGGUGACUUGCUGCUUGUUUUAUGGGUGCUUACCUGGACUAUGUAUCCCUGGUGGACUUAACAUAAAAUAUCAUAAUGUCAUUUUUUAUUGGAAUAUAAUUGCUUUACAAUGUUGUGUUAGUCUCUGCUGUACAAUGAAGUGAAUCGACAAUAUGUACAUAUACAUCUCCUCCCUCUGGGGCCUCCCUGCAUCCUCAGUGUGUCAUUUUGACGUGUGAUCCUUUGUCUGGAAAAUGCAUUCAAUACCUAACAGGAGGAACAGUUCUCAGAGCUUUCUGAGACUCUACUUUCCAGGUUAUCAUCCUCAGUUUGGUUCAAAUAAAUUCCAUUUCUUCCUCUUAACUUGAUAGUUAAUUUAAUUUUCAUCAACAACCUUAAAUUUAUACAGUGAUGUAUAUCAACUCUAAAUCAUUAGAACUGGGGAUGGUGGAGGGAGUCUAGAAAAUACAGUCUAAUUUAUGGGCAAAAGCACAUCAUUGGUUGCUUGGGGUUGAAAAAUGGGUGGGGAGGGUCCGGAGGGUCUCUUAAACGUUCAGGUGAAAAUUAAAUUAAAUUAAAAAACAAACACUGGAGCGAACUAAGGAAAAGUCCUAGAGGACAUUUGGAGAUGUGAUUAGAGGUAAUGCCUUCAAGAGAAAGGUUUGCCUUUCUUAGCAUUUUCUCAUCCUGACAUGUUUAUUAAGGAGGAUGCUAAAAGCUAAGGCAAUUAUAGUAAUAAUAAUUAUGGGUGUGUUUGUUACAAGCAGAUAAUUUGUAGACAAAAGUGGAAAAUGAAAAAUGAAGUCUCUCCUUCAUGAAUUUCUUCCUAAAAUAAAAUUUUGCCUUAUUAAAGUGAAAGCACAGAUUUUGGAAAGUAAACUAAUAAUCUUUGCUUUGUGGCAUAUGUAUCUUCUAGGAGAUGCUUAAUAAAAACAAGGACUUCCCUGGUGGUCUGGGCUUCCACUGCAGGAUCAGAUCAGAUCAGUCGCUCAGUUGUGUCUGACUCUUUGCAACCCCAUGAAUCACAGCACUCCAGGCCUCCCUGUCCAUCACCAACACCCAGAGUUCACUCAGACUCAUGUCCAUUGAGUCAGUGAUGCCAUCCAGCCAUCUUAUCCUCUGUUGUUCCCUUCUCCUCCUGCCCCCAAUCCCUCCCAGCAUCAGAGUUUUU
ensembl:lncRNA